CCCACAGGUCCCGAGAGUUGACCUCCAGCUUUUCAUCCUAACAAGCGGGAACUAUGGAUAUAAUCCUGGCUUGGCUACCUACUGACUGCGUGACCCUGAGCAAGUCACUUAACCUCUCUGAGCCUCGAAUUCUUCUUAUGUAGAAUAUGAAUCAACAAAAUCUGUUUCACAGGGUUAGGCAAGAGUCUCCCAACAUCCGGCGCGGCGCGUACUAGGUGUUCUCAAAGGCAGCAGAUACAGAAGUGAAGGAGUGUGGGUGAAUCCCUGCACACGGAGACUUCCACUCUAAGCUUUAGCAGCCUGGCAGGCCGGUGGCCUCAGGAACCAAGAACAAGAAACAGAGGAGAGUCUUUUUCAGAAAGCUGUCCAGUCCCCACUUCACAGUUGUCUCUACCAGAAUGCCAACCAGAUUAUGGAGAAAACAAAAGAAAAGUCUCACUCUGGAUUCUGGGCCUUCGGGAUUUAAAUGACCACAGAUGAUAAGUCAUUCUGUUACCGGAGAGCAGGCCCUUCUCGGCGCGGUGUCCAGGUUCUUGGCAUCUCAAGCAAAGAAAUGAGCAAGACACAGUAAUACAGUUGUGAAAGCAGUUUAUUAGAAGCGAAAGUGCACUCCAAAGAGGGGGAGCGGGCCUGAGCAGAAAGGAUUGGCUCAAGGGCCCCUGAGUAAUGAGGCCAUGGUGGUUUUUGUCGCUUUUCUUUCUACAAUGGGCUACUCCUUCCUAAUUGUGGGCUGCUUGAUUGAUAUCUGUGAUUGACAAUGGCUAAUGGUUAUGGUAAACAAGGGCAAGUUUGGGCAGGGAAGGGAGGUCUUCGGGGCAGUUAUUUCCCAUAGACUAUGUUGGACGUACAGGAAUGUUACCUGAUAUACCCAGGCAUCUCAGAGACCCAAUUCCUGCCUCUAACUGCCUGCCUUAUGUCCCUCUUGAGAGACAUGAUCCCCAUAAAUCUCUAUGGGAAGUUGAGGGACAGGAGAUCUUUUCUGUAUCUGCUUCCUGCUCAGUCUGGCUGUUGUCCCUACCUAUUGGGGAUUCAUGGGACUUUCACCCUAUCUGAUCUUAGAUGAGGGGAAGGGGUCUUGAGAUCCACCUGGAGGACCAAGUCGACCUCUGUGGUCAGGAUGUACUGGAAGUCUUGGUGGGGCAUCACUUUUAUCCCCAUGACCCAUAGCUGAGGAGAGAUAGAUUUCAAUUAAUAGAGUUAAAAGUGUUGUCCCAAGAAGCAGGACUCAAAACCAUUGACACAGGGCAAUUGUGUGAUGAAAAAAAUUGUUCAGCCUCAUGGAGCCUGGCCUUUCUUCUGGUUUAACCAGUCAUUCAGUUAUUGUUCACCCAGGAGCUGGGCCUGGAAAGAACGCUGUGCUACAAUGACUAUAGUCAACAAGCAUAAAUCAGAAGCUUUAGAGUAAUUAUUUAAAACAGGGAUAGGAGAUUUCUAUCAUUCAGAUUAAAAACAAUCUAUUGUGUAUGAUUAAGAAACUGAUUUGAAAAAUGAUUAUAACCAGGGGCUAUGGAGCUAAAACACUAGGGAAAAGGAGACUUCGAGUUUUAAUGGUGAGAAGCCAUUUCAUUUGGCCUGAUAUCAAUUCCCUGUAUUUUUCUAGAAUUUUCCAUAGUUGAAAUAAUAAUGUAUGUGUUAUCCUGCUUUUCUCCCCCAUUUAGUGUAUAUUGUAAGUAUUUCCUAUAUACAUUUAACAAAUUAUUCAUUCAUUUUAGCCCUUAUUAGAUGCAAGGCAAACAUUUUUAGGCAAGUUAUUAGUGGUUUAUUGCAUCAUUUGUCCACAAUCCAAGAGACGGUUUAGUUUGGUGGCUAAGAGAACUGACUCUGAAGUUAAGCUGCCUUAGUUUAA